rnacentral:misc_RNA from 1 species
AAAGUCGUAACAAGGUUUCCGUAGGUGAACCUGCGGAAGGAUCAUUAAUGAAAACAAAAGGGGGGUUUGUUGCUGGCUUUUUUUUAAAAAAAAGCAUGUGCACACCUUGAAAUCUUUCUCAUUUAUCACCUGUGCACCUUUGUAGACCCGUCUCCUUUCUGAGGGUUUGCUGGCCUUCUUUUUUAGGUUGGGCUUCCCUUGCUGGUGUCUAUGAUAUUUUUCUUAAACACAGUUUUGAAUGUCAAUAUUCUAAGAAGAGCCUUGUGUUCUUUUGAAAUCUAUUAUACAACUUUCAACAACGGAUCUCUUGGCUCUC